ensembl:lncRNA
GUCAUCUUUCAUGGAGCUCUUGAUUCCAGGCCCCUGAGAGCACCCCAGCUCUAGUCAGGGAUCCCCAAGAAGGAACAUUGUUCUGUGGAAACAGGGAGAGGAUCCUGUCUGGGCUUUCCAGAAGUAGCUAGUGUUUCCUACUGGGACAAGGGUGGGCUGAGCCCACUGUGGUCCAGUCUGCAGCCACUGAAGCUGUUAGUCACACUCCACACCUUUCUGCAAUAGAGGAGUCUCCUGCCUGAGGAUGUAAGGCCGGAUCCCUGGCAACUGCCCGAGAGGUAGCAUCAGCAGUGGACAAGCCACCACAUCUCUGGGCUUCCAUUCCCUGCCUGGAAGCAAAGGACCAAACCGGGAUUCCCACCAAGCCUCUGGCUCCUUUCCGCCUGCUUCACUUAGAUGUGCACAUUCCAAGCAUAUCUCUAAGGUGGAUUCUGGGCUAGAAAGUGCAUCGGGCCCUUCUGGAAAUGGCCACUUAGCCUACUAAAGGACCUUGCCCUUCUGUAUGGACUCCCCCCUAUUCUGACAAACCUUGACUUGUGUCAAACACUUCAUGGCUGUGGAGGAGGCAGUAUGGACGACUGAGCUGAGCAUAGGGGAUCACAUCACGCCAUUCCUCACUGCUGCAGACUCGGGGCUUCUUGCUGCUGGUUCCUGACUCCAUCUCGUCACACGAUGCACUUCCCAUCUCUGGAAAGCAAUUUGAGAGUACAGGAACCAAAAGACCAAGAUGCCGAGAUGGCCACCGAACCAAGAUGUCUGUCCACUGUCUCACUUCCUAACUUUGGCUGUCUAAUGAAGUCUCUGGUCUGGGGAAGGGUGGGGCACUGAGGAGACGAGCCAGUGGGAGGCAGGUCCAUGCUAAGCUUCCAACCUUGGGCGGGUGUGAGUGAGGCUCAACACGAGUGCCUCAGGAUAUCCUAGGCAUCCAGGAUACUUCAGACUGUCUCUUUAACCUCAGAAAAUGUCUCAGUUUAUGUGAUCUAUGUCAUACUAAUGGGCUGUGGGUAAUAAACAU